rnacentral:lncRNA from 1 species
CAUAAACUGCAGAGGACACAGAAGAAUACGCCCAGAUCCUUCUUGGGAUGGAUACAGAUUAGAGAAGGUUGCUUGCCACCAUUCUUGUCCUCCCUGCCUGGAGCCUCCUGCCCCUCGGCACAGGGAAAAUUGGACAUUUUGAGCAAGGCCAGGACUUUGAAACAUCUAGGGCAAGGAUGCGUCGAAAAAAGAACAAGUGGCAAACUCACCACCUCGGGACAGGUCUCCCGGCAGCCCUGGAAGGACAGUCUUACCCGGACGCCACGGUGGUCUCCCGGCAGCCCUGGGAAGGACAGUCUUACCCGGACGCCACGGUGGUCUCCCGGCAGCCCUGGGAAGGACAGUCUUACCCGGACGCCACGGCCGAGCUGCCCUUCCCUCCCUGCUGCCCCCAGGGAAGGCUGCUGGUGUCCUCAGAUGCGGGCAGGAGGAACCCGCCAGCGCCUGAGAGCCUGGCCCGAACCAGGCCUGGAGGUGCUGGGGCGAAGACACAGAGGAUGUGGCCUCCAUCCCUGGUAACAGACGGUUACCAGGGCGGCUUUGGGUGAGGACAUUGAAAAAGGUCAGACUCCCUGGGAGCAGCGCCCUGGACUCCAUUCUCAUCACAGACCAGUGGUUCCCAAUUGAAGUCAGUUUUGCUCCUCAGGGCACACUUAACAACAUCUGGAGACAUUUUUAAUUGUCCUGACCGAGAGGACAAUGCUACUGGCAUCUAGUGGACAGAGGCCAGGGAUACUGCUGAACAUCCCGCAGUGCACAGGACGCCUGCAACACAGAUUAUCCAGCCCCAAACGUCAAUAGUGCCGGAGUUAUGGAACCCUAAUGAAGACAAUUCUUGAAGGCAUAGACUGAAUCUUAUUUAUCUUUGUUUCCCUCAUGUCUCACAAGCAGAGUAUGAGUUCAGCAAAUAGGAGUUGAACAGAAAUCAGGAGGAGGUGCUGAUUGACAGGAAAAAAGAAAGAUUUAGUUUAGAGCUGAGAAUUCAGCUGGACAGCCAUAGGGGCUCUGGCAUGGAGACUGGAAGUCAGAAGAGAAUUUGCAGCAAGACAUUUAGAGCCAUUUAUCCAGCCAUCAUAAUUUUAUUGAGUAACUAUUUUGUGUGAGGCACUGUACUGGAUGCUUUGGCAACAGAGAUAAGCAAGGCAACCCCUGUGAAUAAGGCACUCCUGGUCUACACACAGUGGGAGAAACAUAGAAAUUCAUCUCUUCUGAGCGGAGCCUGUGGGAACCCAGAGGAUGGACACCCAGCGUGGUCUGAGGAAUCAUGGGCCAAAACAGGAGGCAUCAGGAGAGAUCUCUUGGGAUCCAUGGAAAGCUCCUCCUCCUUCCUGUUCCCCUGGAUGCCAAGCGAUGGGCCUGAGACCCUGGCUUUGCCAUGUGGAUGCUCCCCCUCAGGACUUUGGAUGUGCAGUGAUUGCUACAAAAAGGGCAAUGAAGAUGCCUGGACCACAGCCACACAGUCUCCAUCACAGCAGUGGUAUUCUGUGGAAUGAGUACUAAUUUUCUGGCCACAUUUUCUGUUAAAAACUGGUUGUUGAGCUGCCCACUUGUCUUGGUCAAGGGAUGCUGGAGUGGCCUGGGAAGGCAGUGUUGUUUGCUUUUCUUAGGAUGGAACACACUUAGGCAUAUUUUUGGUCAAAGCAAAAGAAGAAUUCAAAGUUAAAGGACUCACUUGUACGUGUACACAUUUCUCAGGAGUCCUGUCAACCACUGGGAAGAAAGAGGCUGGACUUCUGCAUUGAACCCAGGAACGGGGUUUCACAGCAAUGGAAACCUGGGGUUAAAUAUCAAUGGAACCUUACAUGACUUGAAGAAUCUUUAAUACAAGCUAGGUUUUGACCCCAAAUUAGACAUUUGGCAGCCUCUCAUUACAGUCUAUCUUGCAAACCUCAGUGUGGCAAGGAAUCAGAUUCACCCACACUCCCUAGUCUAAAGGAUUGUCCUCUGAUCCUUCCAGGUGGAUUAAGCCCUUUCUAAUCUGUCAUGGACAGAGCAAUGUACCUGCCUUUGUUUGUUUUCCUUAAUUCUUUCAAGUGCCUUUGGGUAAUAAAUGGUUGCGUACUC